UACGGAGGGUGCGAGCGUUGUCCGGAAUCACUGGGCGUAAAGGGCGCGUAGGCGGCCUGGCAAGUCGAUGGUGAAAGCCCGAGGCUCAACUUCGGGUCGGCCACUGAUACUGCUGGGCUUGAGUCGACUAGAGGCAGAUGGAAUUCCGGGUGUAGCGGUGGAAUGCGUAGAGAUCCGGAAGAACACCGGUGGCGAAGGCGGUCUGCUGGGGUCGAACUGACGCUGAGGCGCGACAGCCAGGGGAGCGAACGGG
rnacentral:rRNA from 1 species